UGAUUGGAAACCAGUGGUUAAAAGAGUUGACAGUUAACCUCGGGGGCGAUUACACCAAAUUUGCCCUACAAAUCGGGUUCAGUGAAGCACAGGUGCAACUUAUCGAAGGCAUAGGAGACCGUGUACACCAACUGUUGACAGAAAAAUGGCUUUUUACAAUCGGACGUCACACGACAAAAUAUGAACAUAUCAUCUACACAGCACUGGUGACGUUAAAUCGACAAGACCUGUUAGAUACGUACUUCAGGAAAGGUGCUCCCAGCAAGCAUUCUGAAGACAUAUGGGACGAUUUUCUCACUGAACUACAUGCUAUUGAUGUAGUGAAUCUGGAAUCAAAAGAAAAAGACAAAAAACCCGAUGUCAAGAGGAAGAAAAAGAAGAAGAACA